GGGUUAAGUCCCGCAACGAGACGCAACCCUUGCCAUCAGUUGCUACGAAAGGGCACUCUGAUGGGACUGCCGGUGACAAACCGGAGGAAGUGGGGAUGACGUCAAGUCCUCAUGGCCCUUAUAGGUGGGGCUACACACGUCAUACAAUGGCCGGUACAAAGGGCAGCAAACCCGCGAGGGGGAGCCAAUCCAUCAAAGCCGGUCGUAGUCCGGAUCGCAGUCUGCAACUCGACUGCGUGAAGUCGGAAUCGCUAGUAAUCGUGGAUCAGCAUGUCACGGUGAAUACGUUCCCGGGUCUU
rnacentral:rRNA from 1 species